GGGUUAUGUGAUCUCUUUGGCUUUAGGGAAUUACUCCAUACCAGCUCUGAGAUUUCCAGCUCAGCAAUGCCCCCAGGUCCCUGGAAAAGCCGCUUCUGGGUGGGGGGCCUACUUUUGUGGCUCAGCGUUGGAAGUUCAGGGGAUGCACCUCCUACCCCACAGCCAAAGUGCGCUGACUUCCAGAGCGCCAACCUUUUUGAAGGCUCCGAUCUCAAAGUCCAGUUUCUCCUCUUUGUCCCUUCGAAUCCUAACUGUGGGAAGCUAGUAGAAGGAAGCAGUGACCUCCAAAACUCUGGGUUCAAUGCCACUCUGGGAACCAAACUAAUUAUCCAUGGAUUCAGGGUUUUAGGAACAAAGCCUUCCUGGAUUGAUAAAUUCAUUAGAACUCUUCUGCGUGCAACGAAUGCUAAUGUGAUUGUCGUGGACUGGAUUUAUGGGUCUACAGGGGUCUACUUCUUAGCUGUGAAAAAUGUGAUUAAGUUGAGCCUCAAGAUCUGCCUUUUCCUCAAUAAACUCUUGGUGCUGGGUGUGUCGGAAUCCUCAAUCCACAUCAUUGGUGUUAGCCUGGGGGCCCACGUUGGGGGCAUGGUGGGACAGCUCUUCGGAGGCCAGCUGGGACAGAUCACAGGCCUGGACCCCGCUGGACCUGAGUACACCAGCGCCAGUGUGGAGGAGCGCUUGGAUGCCGGAGAUGCCCUCUUCGUGGAAGCCAUCCACACAGACACUGACAAUUUCGGUAUUCGGAUUCCCGUUGGACACGUGGACUACUUUGUCAAUGGAGGCCAAGACCAACCCGGCUGCCCCACCUACUUUUAUGCAGGUUAUAGUUAUCUGAUCUGUGAUCACAUGAGAGCCGUGCACCUCUACAUCAGCGCCCUGGAGAACUCCUGUCCACUGAUGGCCUUUCCCUGUGACAGCUACACGGCCUUCCUUGCCGGACACUGUCUGGAUUGUUUUAACCCUUUUCUGCUUUCCUGCCCAAGGAUAGGCCUGGUGGAACACGGCGGUGUCAAGAUAGAGCCACUUCCCAAGGAAGUGAAAGUCUACCUCCUGACUACUUCCAAUGCUCCGUACUGCAUGCAUCACAGCCUCGUGGAGUUUCACUUGAAGCAACUGAGAAGAAAGGACACCAACAUCGAGGUUACUUUCCUUAGCAGUAACGUCACCUUCUCAUCUAAGAUCACCAUGUACACCUAAGCAGCAACUUCACGGGAAAGGAAUCAUAGCUCAUGCCACCCCACAGUGCCAGAUAAAGCAAGUGAAAUUCAAGUUUCAGUCUUCCAACCGAGUUUGGAAAAAAGACCGGACUACUAUUAUUGGGAAGUUCUGCACUGCCCUUUUGCCUGUCAAUCACAGAGAAAAGGUGAUCUGCUUACCCGAACCGGUGAACUUACAAGCAAGUGUGACUGCUUCUCAUGACCUGAAGAUAGCCUGCAUAUAGUUUAACCUGGGCAGGACACAUCUCCCUGCAUUUUUUUUUUUUUGGAGGGAGGUGUGAUGAGGGAUGUGUGUGUGCAGCUUAUUGUAGACCAUUACUGCUACAGAGAAAGGCAAAGCUCUUAUUUUCUCCAUAAUGAGCCACCCUGGAGGGGAGGGAGAACUCAUUUUACAGAGCUUGGUUUCUGCUGCUGAUCUUAUGUACAUACCCAUUUUAGCUCUCCCAUGCAUACUUAACUGCACUUGCUUUAGCUCCUUGUAUAUCUGUACUUAGGAUUCAAUAGAAAUAUGUACAGAGUAAAUAAUUUUUUAAAAAUAAAACUUCAUGGAGUACCUGAA